UACAGAGGUCUCAAGCGUUGUUCGGAUUCAUUGGGCGUAAAGGGUGCGUAGGUGGCGUGGAAAGUUGAGUGUGAAAUCCUAGGGCUUAACCUUAGAACUGCACUCAAUACUCCCAUGCUAGAGGAAUGUAGAGGAGAGUGGAAUUCACGGUGUAGCAGUGAAAUGCGUAGAUAUCGUGAGGAAGACCAGUUGCGAAGGCGACUCUCUGGGCAUCUCCUGACACUGAGGCACGAAGGCUAGGGGAGCAAACGGGAUUAGAUACCCCGGUAGUCCUAGCAGUAAACGGUGCACGUUUGGUGUGGGCAGGCUCAGACCCUGUCCGUGCCGGAGCUAACGCGUUAAACGUGCCGCCUGGGAAGUACGGUCGCAAGAUUA
rnacentral:rRNA from 1 species